UCGGAUGUGCCCGCAAGGGUGCAUGGCAGACGGGUGAGUAACGCGUGGGGAACCUACCUCUUUGUGGGGAAUAACGUUCCGAAAGGAAUGGUAAUACCGCAUGAGACCAUGGACUGGGACGUCCAUGGUGAAACCUGGGGACCGUAAGGCCUGGGGCAAGGAGAGGGUCCUGCGUCUGAUUAGCUAGUUGGUGGGGUAACGGCCUACCAAGGCGACGAUCAGUAGCCGGCCUGAGAGGGUGAUCGGCCACACUGGAACUGAGACACGGUCCAGACUCCUACGGGAGGCAGCAGUGGGGAAUUUUGCGCAAUGGGCGAAAGCCUGACGCAGCAACGCCGCGUGGGUGAUGAAGGUCUUCGGAUCGUAAAACCCUGUCGUCAGGGACGAAGGUCGGGGAGUGAAUAGCUCUUUGGCUUGACGGUACCUGGAGAGGAAGCCCCGGCUAACUCUGUGCCAGCAGCCGCGGUAAUACAGAGGGGGCAAGCGUUAUUCGGAAUUAUUGGGCGUAAAGGGCGCGUAGGCGGUGUUUUAAGUGAGAUGUGCAAUCCCCGGGCUUAACCUGGGAACUGCAUCUCAGACUGGAACGCUGGAGUACUGGAGAGGGUGGUAGAAUUCCACGUGUAGCGGUGAAAUGCGUAGAGAUGUGGAGGAAUACCAGUGGCGAAGGCGGCCACCUGGACAGUAACUGACGCUGAGGCGCGAAAGUGUGGGUAGCAAACAGAUUAGAUACCCUGGUAGUCCACGCUGUAAACGAUGAACACUUGUGUGGUGGGAGUUGACCCCCCGCC
rnacentral:rRNA from 1 species